rnacentral:SRP_RNA from 1 species
CGUUGGUCCCCCCGCGACGACGAGCCGUGAACUCCGCCAGGCCCGGAAGGGAGCAACGGUAGCGGUGCAGUCGGGUGCCGGGGUGUGGCUGGCGCGG